AGACAUCCAAGGACUGCCGUUGAGUUCCCUGGCGCACAGAAAUUCUAAUCUUCAACCUGUGAGGACAGAUAGGGACACCGGAAUCAUUCCAAACAACUCAGCUCGAACAAAUGGAUUGGAGAGUUCCAUUUCUCUGUGCAGUAGCAUGUCUUGUGUUACUGGUGUCACAGUCUUAUGCCACAGGUGGUGUGAAUACAUCUCUCUCUACAGCUCAGAACAACUUGUCUCUGUGUUUCAUCUGCAUGACUGAGAGGUGUCAAGAUGUAAAAAAGAUUUUCAAUUCCAUGAGCGAUGACAAACUUUGGAUGCAAAGUACUGAAACGUCUGCCCUUCUUGACUGUUCCCUGACCUCGUCUCCCUCUUCUGGGAAGUGUGUGCCAUGUUUUGAGGACCGCAAGGUCUACGUUGUGUGCCUUGACAUGCCCAAGGAUCUCAAACUGGACCUGGAGUGGGGCAGUGUUAGCAUCUCCCUUUCCAACGCUGAAGCUACAUGCCCUAGACUGAAGGAAGCUGGACCUGUUGGUCGAGCUGGACACCACAACACCAUUGUCUUGACCAUCUUUUUCUGCAUCGGCGCUGGCUUCAUCACAAUGUAG
rnacentral:lncRNA from 13 species